AACGAACGCUGGCGGCAUGCCUAACACAUGCAAGUCGAACGAGACCAUCGGGUGUUGUGGCGUCCGGGUUCGUAACGCGUGGGAACCGGCCCUUAGGUUCGGAAUAACUCCCCGACAGGGGUGCUAAUACCGGAUAAUGUCUUCGGACCGAAGAUUUAUCGCCUUUGGAGGGGCCCGCGUGGGAUUCGAUAGUUGGUAGGGUAAGAGCAUCCUAAGGGGAGAAUCGAUAGCUGGGCAGAGAGGAAGAUCAGCGACACUGGGAGUGAGACGCGGCCCGGAAUCCUACGGGAGGGAGGAAUGGGGGAUAUAGGAAAGUCGCGGGAGGGAUGAAGGAGCUCGGCUGGGUAAGUGAUGAAGGCAGUAAGGAUGAAAAGCUCUUUUACCCGGGAUGAUAAUGACGGUACCGGAAGAAUAAGCUCCGGCUAACUCCGUG
rnacentral:rRNA from 1 species